GGGGGCCCAGCAAUGGGCAACCGGCGAACGGGUGCGUAACACGUGAGCAACCUACCGAACUGUGGGGGAUAGCCGGCCUAACGGCCGAGUAAUACCGCAUACGCUCUCAGUGAGGCAUUUCAUUGAGAGGAAACCUACGGGACAGAUCGAGGGGCUCGCGGCCUAUCAGCUAGUUGGCGAGGUAACGGCUCACCAAGGCAACGACGGGUAGCUGGUCUGAGAGGAUGGCCUGCCACAUUGGGACUGAGAUACGGCCCAGACUCCUACGGGAGGCAGCAGUGGGGAAUCUUGCGCAAUGGCCUAACGGCUGACGCAGCGACGCCGCGUGUGGGAUGAAGCUCUUCGGAGUGUAAACCACUGUUGCCCGGGACGAACAGCUCGAUUAAUCGAGCCUGACGGUACCGGGUGAGGAAGCACCGGCUAACUCCGUGCCAGCAGCCGCGGUAAUACGGGGGGUGCGAGCGUUGUCCGGAAUCACUGGGCGUAAAGGGCGCGUAGGUGGUUUGAUAAGGGUGUGGUGAAAGUCCGGGGCUCAACCCCGGAUCUGCCGUGCCGACUGUCAAACUCGAGGGCUGUAGAGGCAGACGGAAUUCCGGGUGUAGCGGUGGAAUGCGUAGAGAUCCGGAGGAAGACCGGUGGCGAAGGCGGUCUGCUGGGCAGUUUCUGACACUGAGGCGCGACAGCGUGGGGAGCAAACAGGAUUAGAUACCCUGGUAGUCCACGCCGUAAACGAUGGGU
rnacentral:rRNA from 1 species